rnacentral:misc_RNA from 1 species
GAUGAAGAACGUAGCGAAAUGCGAUAACUAAUAUGAAUUGCAGAAUUCAGUGAAUCAUCGAGUCUUUGAACGCACAUUGCGCCCCCUGGUAUUCCGGGGGGCAUGCCUGUCCGAGCGUCAUUGCUGCCCUCAAGCACGGCUUGUGUGUUGGGCUCCGUCCCCCCGGGGACGGGCCCGAAAGGCAGCGGCGGCACCGAGUCCGGUCCUCGAGCGUAUGGGGCUUUGUCACCCGCUCUGUAGGCCCGGCCGGCGCCAGCCGACAACCCAUCAUCCUUUUCAGGUUGACCUCGGAUCAGGUAGGGAUACCCGCUGAACUUAAGCAUAUCAAUAAGCGGAGGA